rnacentral:misc_RNA from 1 species
GUACUGUUAACGAAUACCAUUUCUUUUCUGUGACUGUUAUAUGCAUAGCUAGUUUUUAAUGACUGUUUAUAAAACAUUAGUGAUAGUCGUACCAGAAAUCUUUACUUGAAGAUAGAGGCGAAAAUAUUUACCAAAAUGUAAUUAUUGCCUAUCGUCGAAAGGCGACGAAACCGUUAACAUUUGGUACGAUAUACUCUAACUGAGAAACUAUUAUACGCAUGUAAGGACGUUUCACGUUUUGAUUUUUUACACGAGUAGAAAUGUGCGUAUUUGGUUGUGCACUUUCAGGCGUUGCUGUAUCUUGCAAAUAUACAUGAGAAAAAAUAUAGUGCGAAAUAAGUAGCUCUGAAUGUAUGGAUGACCAUACGUAGUGUGAUAGUUAUGAACAGUCGUGGACUGGUAAUGUUUGAAUGAAUAAUGCCUUCAUCAUGCCACUUCUUAAAAAUGUUUGUGUCCAAGCACUCUUUGACUUCAGUUAUAAUACAGACAAAGGAUUCUCUGUUCAUUUGAAGAAAGGAAAAGAGUAUCAACUUCUUGAGAAAACAAACAAAGAUUGGUGGUUGAUCAGCGAUGGAACAAGUCAGUCAUUUCAUGCUCCUUCAAAUUAUUUGAAAAUAACACAUGUAAAUAAAAAAGUGUCUGCUGAUAAUUGCAGCAAUAUUGAUACUGAUAAUAACUCUAACUUUCUAAGUAAAUAUGGUAGCACAAAUAAUCAGGUAUCAGAUGUCACAUCUGAAACUAUAGAUACAAAAGUAAGAUUGAAAACUCUAGAAGAUUCUAAAAAUGGGUGUGAAUCAAAGCUAGAGCCUGCAUUGAUAGAAAAAGUUUUCACUCAGAGUGAAGUCCCAUUUUUGAAACUUAUAAACAGUACUGGUGUUAAGACUGACUGUCCUUUAAGUGCAAAUGAAAACAAAAUGGUUGGUAUAUCUGUUGAUAGUGACAAAUUUGCAAAAUACUUAUCUGUUGAAGAUGGAGAAAAAAAUAUAGCUGAUCAAAUGUCUAGUUUUUCUCAGGGAAAAAGUGGAUCAUUAAGUAGUCAGGACAGUCUGCUUGAGGAUUCUGAGGAUCCUAUUUAUGCUAAUUUGGCCACUUUAGCUAAGUCAACACCACCUUUUCCAGGGCCAAAGGAUCACCUUCGUCGAAUUCUUUUGAACCACUGGGCUGAGUACGAAGAUGAGACAGGCAGGUUAUUUUAUUACAAUAGAAUCACCAGAGCUAAGUCAUGGGAUAUUCCUGGACAGUUGUCCUUCUUAGUAGUUCAGUCUCCUACUAGUCCAAAGCCAUUCCAGAAAUGUGAAAGUCAGCAUGGUGAUAAUGGCACUGAUAAAAUUAGCUCUUCGGAAACUUCCAUAAAUAAUUUUCAAACAUCUAAUUCUUUAUUGGAACAAGAAAGUUCAAGCUCUCUUAAGCUGCCUCCUGGAUGGUUACAGAGGAUAGAUGGUGAAACUGGAGACAUUUGUUAUGUUAAUGAUCUUUCUAGUAGCAAGUGGUUUAGCUCUCUGGAUGACAAUGGUAGACCAUAUUACUAUGAAGACAAUGGAAUGGUUUCUUUUUGGCAGUUACCUGAUUUCACUAAAGCUGAGGGCAAGGAAAUCAAGAAUAUUGGAAAUAAGCCAUAUCUUUCUCCUUGUGACCUGGAUGAAACUGAUAGUUUUUUUAAACCACUGGAAACAAUGUCUCUGCCAUCUCCUGUGCUUGACAACACUUCUCCACAUGAAAUGAAGUUUCCAGCUGAAAGUUUUUUUAAUGAAACAUUGGAUGUGAAGAAAGGAGGAAUACUCAUGAUGACAAAAGUGGAAGAAGGGGGAAAACGACUAAAGAAAAAUUGGUCUUCAUAUUAUGUGGCGUUAACAGAUGUAGCAUUGCUCUGUUACAAAGAUGUCCAGUCAACAAUUGUGGCUCUGAAGGAUUGCAAGGCAGAAAGUUGUGUGAAUUUAGCAGGUGCUGCCAUUUAUUGGUGUCCAGAAAAAUCAUCAAAGAAAAAUGUAUUCCUGAUUACUACUAUCUUGGGACAGAAAAUACUAUUCCAGGAUGACAGUUUCCAAAUUACUGCUGAAUGGUAUCAAGCAAUUCAAGCUGUAAUAUCUAAACUACCAUCAUCUGAAAGCUUGAAGUGUGAUGAAAUUGUACCAGAUGAAGUAAAAGAAAAUCUCAAAAGUGAACCCAAGAAAAAAAACAGAUUUCUUCCUUCUAGAUCACCAAAAUUGGAUCAGAUAAAAGAAACAAAUGAAAGUGUUUUUAAAAGUUCUGGAGAGAAAAAAAAGAUCCAUAACAAACUUCGAAACUUUUUCAACAAACGUCCAUCCAUGGAAAGUUUAAAGAAAAAAGGAAUUUUGAAAGAUGAACCAGUAUUUGGCUACAGUCUACAAAGUUUGUGUGAAAGAGAGAAAACCAACAUUCCCAAUUUUGUUCAGAGAUGCAUUGAACAAAUUGAACAGUUUGAUCUCACCACUGAUGGAAUAUAUAGAAUAAGUGGUAAUUUGGCACAAAUUCAGAAGCUCAGGCUACAUGUUGAUCAAGAUGAUUAUUCCAUCCUACAGACAACGGAAGAUAUUCAUAUACUGACUGGGGCUCUAAAACUUUUUUUCAGAGAAAUGAAAGAGCCUUUAAUACCAGUAUCUACUUUUAGUCGAUUAUUAGAAGGUCUUGGAAAGCAAACUAAGGAAAAGAAGUUAGCAACUGUCACUGAAGUAGUUCAAUCUUUGCCAAAACCUAACUAUGAAACUUUGAAAUUUUUGCUUGAUCAUCUACUCAGAGUCGAAAAGCACCAACAGAAAAAUUUAAUGGACAUCCAGAAUCUAGCAAUUGUGUUUGGACCAAGUCUAAUGAAUUCUGAGUCAAACAACAUGGCAUUAGAUGUAAUGCAGCAGAACAGAGUACUUGAGUAUUUACUUCUGAAGUUUGAUCACAUUUUUUCCACUCCACUAAUUUACUAAUAAACUUUAACCUGACAUGCUGAAGAUCUGUUUUUGUAAGGAUUUAGCAAGUGCUUCCAUUUGUUUGGUUUAAUAGAUAUAUAGUAACUGUGUAAUCAUUUACAAACUGUUUGUAAUGAGUGAUAUACCUUGUAUUUCAUUGAUUGAUCUAAAUUGUAUUACACCAUGAAAUUCAUUCUUGUGUAUAAAAUAUGUAAAAGGUUGAAAAUUCUUGUCCAUGUUUUGCGAUGCACAGAGGUAACGCAUUACAGUGUAUUAACGUUGUUAGUUGAUAACCACAUUUUCAUGAUGAUAGUUUUUAUAACAAAAUAUUUUCUUUGGCAGCAAACAUUUUAGGUAUGUAUAGCAAAAAUUAUAUUUAAAAAAAUUGUUUAAACCUGGUUGCAGAUUUUGUUGAUUUUUUGUGAGUUUAUAUUAAGGUUGCACAACACUAAGAAAAUAGUUUGUUUUUGAAUGUCUCAAGCCAUCAACUGUUUAAAUUUUAUUUGGUUAUUUUCUUUCUUAAUAGUUUUAGUUAAAGAACUUUUCACUGACAAACAGUUUUAAGAAGUAAAAAAAUCAUAUAUUUUUGCAGCUUUCUUUUACUGUUUCAAAACCUCAUAUCAUUAUUAUAUUAUCAAUACAUCCAUAUAUCUUUCAGAGGUUCUUGUACAUUCAGUGUUUUGGUUUAAAAAAACGUUGGCGUUAAAAGGGAAAGUUUUUUUGUUCUGCAUUGUUUUGAAACAACUCAGAGAAAAAAUUGUAAAUGCAUCUUAUAGAGGAUAUGCAAAAUGUUACAUCUCAUUUCAUAAUGACAAAGUUCUUGAACAAGGUUUUUAUUAAUAAUUUGAUUUUUCUUUUGGUCUUUAAAUUAACUUCUUUUGUUUUUUUGCUUGAUGUUUUUUGAUUUGUUGUUUACUUGUUUUAUAAACUACAGUUGAAAGACAAACUUUUAUCCCUCAUAUGGGCUUAGCAGUUAUAAAUCAUGGAAGUUUUCAUGUAACUCACAUUUAUUGAUGUGCUAAUGGUAAACUAGGGUUAAAUUUGUAACCAAUAAAGUGUGCUUGCAUGUGUGUGUAAAUAUAUAUACUUAGAAAUGAAAACUUUAUUCCAUAUGUGCACAGUAUUAGUUUGACUGGCUUUUUAACAAGAAAAGCUUUGUUUUAACUCUUUUAAAUCCAUAAUUGUUUGCAUGUUCUGUUGCAUUAAUUUUCUAAUAAUUAUCACCAUACCUUAUAAAUCAUCAAUUUUCUUAAUUUUGUGUAUAAUAACAUGAACUGGAUUAGUUUUCAGCCAAAGAGACAUAAAGUUUAUCGGAUGCUGUCACCAUCUAAUGGGUAAAUCAGGGUUUUUAGGCUAGAUGCUGGAAGCAUCUGCUCAGGUUUGAGGAUUUAAAGAUUUGUGUCCUUACAUAAUGCUGUGAAAAUUGAAUUAGAUAUUAAGUGCUCAUAUACUUUCAGGGACUGGAUCUUUUAGGACAAGGAAUCAUAAAAACAUUAACUUGUCAGAAAUAUUAUUUUUAUUAUUAACUAUAGUUUUGAAACUAAACAUUCCAAAGUUUUGUAGUCACUUUUAAAUUAUAUCAAACUAUGUUUCCUUUAUUAGAAGAAGUAUGUGCUUUGUGUUACAUUAAAUCAAAACAAAAAUAUACCAAGUGAUAUGUCAGAAUGGUUUUUACCUUGAUGUUUAGAAUUUGCACCUUUAAUAUUUUUAAAGAUGUUAAUGUUAAUAACAGAUUUUCAAUUUUUUCAUUUUUCAAACAUUUCUAAUUAUUUUUAAAUGAAACUUUAGAGAAACACUAGCAAGUGGUAGACUUCCUUCAUCAGAAGUCAAGUGAGAAAGUACUCAGGUAUAUUAAAGUAUGAGUGAUUUUUGUGAUCUUCUAAGCCUUUUCAAAUGUGGAUAAAAACUGAGUAAAUUGUUCAGAUACACACUAAAAGUAUUAUCAUCAUUACUGUUCUAAUACAUGUAAAUUAUGAUAUUAAACUGCUGUCAAUUAUUGUAAGACACUGAGACAUAUGUUCUCUUAAAUGUAAAAUAUGUAAUGAAACAUGUUUUAUUGCAUGUUAAUUCUUAUUAUUAUUUUGUAUUAGAGAUUUCAUAUUAUUAUGAUCCUGGGUCUAGAUAAUGUUUGAGCAUGAGUAUUUGUGACAUUCAAAGUAUUUAAUUUUAUAAUACAUUAUUCAUGAAUUCCCAGAAGAACAGUUAAUCACAAUUUAGAAACCUUUAAUGAACUUCAGGCAGGAAAACAUUCUUUUAAUUUGUUUUUAAUCAAUUGAUGCAGAUAUGUUGUUUGUAAAUAUUAUGUUUAUGAAUGGAAAAAAAUUAGAACAAAUUUCUUUUUAUUUGGUAUGCUAAAGUUUAUAAGUAGUUUAUAGAAGUAUUCUAGUCAAGAAUGUGGAAGUUUAUUGUAACAAUGUUAGAUUCAUUGUAACAGAUCACAAUAUAGAAUAUUUUAGUUUGAAGAAAAUACAGUGAAAUUUCUUAAUAUACUAAAGUACUUGAAAAUAUUAUUGUAAUACACAGACAAGUUCUUGAAAAGGGGGUUGUAAUGCAAUAAAAUGGAAAUGCACUAAAUAGCUGAAUCAGACAUUCAGUUCCAACUACCAUAUGUGGCAGUGCUUUUUGACUAUACUGAAGAAUUAGUAAAAUGUUGCCAGUGUUUUUUGAAAAUUGUACAUAACUCCCUAAUUUGAUGUAUUGGAGUUUGAAGAUGUUCCUGAAAAUAAAAUUUAUUUUAUGACA